rnacentral:rRNA from 1 species
GACGGGACCGCACAAGCGGUGGAUGAUGUGGAUUAAUUCGAUGCAACGCGAAAACCUUACCUACCCUUGACAUGUCUGGAACCUUGGUGAGAGCCGAGGGUGCCUUCGGGAGCCAGAACACAGGUGCUGCAUGGCUGUCGUCAGCUCGUGUCGUGAGAUGUUGGGUUAAGUCCCGCAACGAGCGCAACCCUUGUCACUAGUUGCCAUCAUUUGGUUGGGCACUCUAGUGAGACUGCCGGUGACAAACCGGAGGAAGGUGGGGAUGACGUCAAGUCCUCAUGGCCCUUAUAGGUGGGGCUACACACGUCAUACAAUGGCCGGUACAGAGGGUAGCCAACCCGCGAGGGGGAGCCAAUCCCACAAAGCCGGUCGUAGUCCGGAUCGCAGUCUGCAACUCGACUGCGUGAAGUCGGAAUCGCUAGUAAUCGCGGAUCAGCAUGUCGCGGUGAAUACGUUCCCGGGUCUU